GGUCACCGUAUCGCAGAGCUAUGGGGAGAAAGAGCUGUGCACAACCAAAUGUGCUGAUGGCCGUAGCUGAUGUCACAAUGGAUGAGACGUAGCACCAGAGAGACAUUUUGAGAGUGAAACCGAACUGUUCCAACUGCAGAGGUCACUGUGAGGUGAUCAGAGCCCAACAACAGCUAAGACUGAAGUUAAUGAAGCUUUGAGGUGAGCUAAGAUCACCGUUGGCUUGCAGAGAAAUGAACACACACCACAAAGACAACUUUCUUUAGCGAAACGGCUAUUUAAAGAGGAGAAGAAGGGCGACAUGGACGCGAGCCAAGCCGUAUCUUUAUCAUCCAGAGAGGUUUACUGACGAGGUGGUGAGUAGUUUGCAAAGUGGGUUUUUAACAUGUCACAUUUCCAAAGAGAAUUAUUUCUACAUUUAAUUUUUCAGGACGUCAGAGCCUAAAAACAUAGCUGGGUCAAUUUUUUUCAAUACUGUCAUUCUAAUUAUACAGUAUGAUGUCAUGAUAUCGGAUGAGACAUCAGAUUUACACAUGUGUAAUCAAUCAGCAGCUAUUCUGGCUCAUAAUUUACUGUCUGGCUGAAUAAUGAGAAAAUGUCUGCUUUGGUACCAUUAAAGGGAAACAGUGCACAGAGAGUGAGUUAUUCAUGUUUCUGGUCCAUGAUGGUGACUGGCUGUUUAUGUCAAAUCACAUU